AUGGGGAGUAGACAGAUAUCUGCCACUCAAGCUAAUGAAGUAGGUUUGGUAGAAAACCAGCGAGUUGCCUUCCUCUGUACAGACUGUACAGACUUAGUUUUUGAGGGAGAAGGUCUUGGCGCAACUGAAAGGACGUGUCAUCAUUCUCCUUGCCAGCAGCCCAGGGAAAAGAUUUACAAGAAAAAGAAACCAGGUAUCUACAAGUGCAAUAUGUUACAGACAGUAAUAACCUUCAAAGGAAAAGCAAGGAAUAAGACUGCUUUAAAGGAAAUGAUCCUCUGCAAUUUCUUCUACAUUUCUUUUUAA
rnacentral:lncRNA from 1 species